rnacentral:rRNA from 1 species
UACGGAGGGGGCUAGCGUUGUUCGGAAUUACUGGGCGUAAAGCGCGCGUAGGCGGAUCUGCAAGUCGGGGGUGAAAUCCCGAGGCUCAACCUCGGAACUGCCUUCGAUACUGCGGGUCUCGAGUCCGGGAGAGGUGAGUGGAAUUCCUAGUGUAGAGGUGAAAUGCGCAGAUAUCGGGAGGAACACCGGUGGCGAAGGCGGUUCUCUGGGCCUGUACUGACGCUGAGGAGCGAAAGCGUGGGGAGCGAACAGG